UGUUAUUAGAGGUCCUACCUGCCCAGUGACUAAGUUAAACGGCCGCGGUAUUCUAACCGUGCGAAGGUAGCGCAAUCACUUGUUUUUUAAAUGAAGACCUGUAUGAAUGGUGAAACGAGGGCUUAACUGUCUCCCCUUUCUAAUCAGUGAAAUUGAUUUUCCCGUGCAGAAGCGGGAAUAAAUAUACAAGACGAGAAGACCCUAUGGAGCUUAAGACAUCAAAUCAACUAUGUUAAAACCCCAUAUAAACGGAAUUAAACCUUAUAGAACUGAUUAACGUCUUCGAUUGGGGCAAUCGCGGGGAAAAACAAAUCCCCCAUGUGAAGCAAGACACUUCUCAAAACCACGAGGCACACCUCUAAGCCACAGAACCUCUGACCGCAAGAUCCGGCAUUAAGCCGAUCAACGGACCAAGUUACCCUAGGGAUAACAGCGCAAUCCCCUCCAAGAGUCCAUAUCGACAAGGGGGUUUACGACCUCGAUGUUGGAUCAGGACAUCCUAAUGGUGCAGCCGCUAUUAAGGGUUCGUUUGUUCAACGAUUAAAGUCCUACGUGAUCUGA
rnacentral:rRNA from 1 species